UACGUAGGGUCCGAGCGUUUGUCCGGAAUUACUGGGCGUAAAGGGCUCGUAGGCGGCCAACUAAGUCGGAUGUGAAAUCCCCCAAGCUUAACUUGGGAACUGCAUCCGAUACUGGAUGGCUUGAAUCCGGGAGAGGGAUGUGGAAUUCCAGGUGUAGCGGUGAAAUGCGUAGAUAUCUGGAGGAACACCGGUGGCGAAGGCGGCAUCCUGGACCGGUAUUGACGCUGAUGCGCGAAAGCCAGGGGAGCAAACGGGG
rnacentral:rRNA from 1 species